GACGAACGCUGGCGGCGUGCUUAACACAUGCAAGUCGAACGGAAAGGCCCUGCUUUUGUGGGCUGCUCUAGUGGCGAACGGGUGAGUAACACGUGAGUAACCUGCCCUUGACUUUGGGAUAACUUCAGGAAACUGGGGCUCAUACCGGAUAGGAGUUCCUGCUGCUUGGUGGGGGUUGGAAAGUUUCGGCGGUUGGGGAUGUACUCGCGGCUUAUCAGCUUGUUGGGGGGGUAGUGGCUUACCAAGGCUCUGACGGGUAGCCGGCCUGAGCGGGUGACCGGCCACAUUAGGACGGAGAUACGGCCCAGCCUCCUACGGGAGGCAGGAGUGGGGAAUAGUGCACAAUGGGCGGAAGGCUGAUGCAGCAACGCCGCGUGCGGGAUGACGGCCUUCGGGUUGUAAACCGCUGUCGCCUGUGACGAAGCGUGAGUGACGGUAAUGGGUAAAGAAGCUCCGGCUAACUACGUG
rnacentral:rRNA from 1 species